rnacentral:lncRNA from 10 species
GCACUGUCUAGUGCACAGGCAACCUGGCCUUGGCCUCCUAGCCCGAGAAGCCGAAUCUCCCUAAUCCCUGUGACCUGUGUCACCUCUGCAUCGCGAGGAGGGGGAUAAGUGGGGAGAAGCCUGGUGUCAGAUGGGAUGGCGCCGGAAGAGGGUGCCACAGCGGGGACGGAAGGCGCCCCCACCCCAACUCCACGGGAAUAUAAACAAUUUGUAUUUUCCGAUCAGGUGGCGGGACAGGCUUCAUUGGGACAGCCCUAACCCAGCUGCUGAAUGCCAGAGGCCACGAAGUGACGUUGGUCUCCCGAAAGCCCGGGCCCGGCCGGAUCACGUGGGUAAGUCCAUCCUCUGGAAGCGGGUGGGAGGGCAGAGUUGGGCGGCGCAGGGCGGGGCAGGGGCACUGUGUGCUUUCUCCGACAGGAUGAGCUCGCUGCAUCGGGGCUGCCGAGCUGCGAUGCCGCCGUCAACCUGGCCGGAGAGAACAUCCUCAACCCUCUCCGAAGGUCAGCCCGGGCCCUAAAGCUGAUACCCACUAGAGCACAGGGAGGACAGUGCCCCACUGAUGAGAACCUGUGAGCUAUGGAUGGAAUGAAACCUUCCAAAAAGAGGUAAUCGGCAGCCGCCUAGAGACCACCCAAUUGCUGGCUAAAGCCAUCACCAAAGCCCCACAACCCCCCAAGGCCUGGGUCUUAGUCACAGGUGUAGCUUACUACCAGCCCAGUCUGACUGCGGAGUAUGAUGAAGACAGCCCAGGAGGGGACUUUGACUUUUUCUCCAA